UUGAAAAGUCUUCGAAAUAUAGUUGACCGGGAAAUAUGAUUGAAAAUGCAUUGAAAUAUAGUUGACCGGGAAAUAUGAUUGAAAAUCCAUAGAUUUUUGGUUGACCGGGAGAUCAACGGGUGGUAUACCCAACGUACUGCACCGGACACAGCUCAUUUCUGGACCCUUGGCACAAGGGUACAGAUCACUAUUGCACACCAAGUAAGCAAAACAACAUUUUUGAUUUCAUUUUAUUUUAUUUCUGCAAACAACUUGCACCACUUGCAAUUGCACAAUGACAUCACGCUGGUCAAAGAGGCGGAAAAUUAAAUCAAUGCUUAGGGCCACAGAGUCAGAAAUCCUGCAGCAGUAUGAGAAAACCUAUACUGGUUCCAAAAUGCAAGGCAACACUGUUGCAGAACUGGAACAUGUUGAAUUCCCAAGUGUAGCAUUGGAGUCAGGUGAAUCUAGCUCAGUUGUGAAGCAACCAAGUAUAGGGGAACUUGAGCAGAGGUCAGCAAUCAAUGAGUCCCAUCUCUCAUUAGACUCUGUUUACGACUGUCCAUCACCUAGGCCUGUUGAUUCAGAAUCAGAUGUUUCUGAUGAUGAAGCUCCAACAUCAGAGUUAAUGACAAGUCUCAGAUUUUGGGCCUCCUCCUUUUUGGUCUCAUUAGCAGCAUUGACUGCACUCUUGAGCAUUUUGCGAUUGUUUCAUCCAGAAUUGCCAAGAGAUGCUCGGACAAUUCUCAAGACACAAGGUGAAAUAAAAACUGAGAAAAUGGAAGGUGGGGAAUAUUAUCACUUUGGCCUAGCUACUGGAUUGAUGUCAAAACUGAAAUCUCUGAAGCUGCCGGCUAAUUUGACCACAAUUAAGCUGCAGUUAAGUAUAGAUGGUUUACCACUAUUCCGAAGCAGCAAAACUCAGUUCUGGCCCAUUUUAGCUACCAUUAAUGUUGAUUACAGAAAAUCGCCAUUCCUUGUCGGCCUUUUCUGUGGCAUUACCAAACCAAAGAGUGUCUUUGAGUUCUUGGGCCCAUUUAUUGAAGACCUUAGUGGCAUUCUAAAAAAUGGCAUUGUUCACAAUGGACAGCAGAUUCUGGCAGAAGUGUGCUCAUUUAUAUGCGACGCCCCAGCACGAGCUUUUAUUAAAAAUGUAAAAAGCCACAAUGGUUAUUCAGGUUGCGACAAGUGUUUUCAAGUGGGUGAAUGGCACAACAAGAUGACAUAUCCGGAAACAAAUGUUAGAUUGAGGACAGACACAGACUUCAACUCUAUGACUGAUGAUGAACACCACUUAAACCAAACACUGUCCCCACUAGCUAGUCUGGUCAAAAUGGUGACAAUGGUCCCAUUAGAUUACAUGCACUUGUGCUGUCUUGGGGUAACCAGGAAGUUGCUAUAUAUUUGGAUGAGGGGCAAAUCACUGGCAACUAGGUUGUCAAGUAAAUCAAUCGAAGAGAUAUCCAUUAAAUUGAAGGGACUAGGACCUUACACUCCCUCUGAGUUCAGUCGGAAACCCAGGCACCUCUCUGAAAUAGAUCGGUGGAAGGCGACAGAGCUUCGAUAUUUCAUGCUUUAUGCUGGCCCAGUAGUACUGAAAAAUAGCAUUGCCCUUGAAAUUUAUGAAAACUUUAUGUUACUUUCUGUGGCCAUGCAUCUGCUGUUGUCUCCUGGAACAUCAGAGGAAAUGAUUGAUUGCGCUCAGGGAUUGUUGACUUCCUUCGUAACUC
ensembl:lncRNA